GACGAACGCUGGCGGCGUGCUUAACACAUGCAAGUCGAACGCGCCUGUCCUCUGGGUUUCUGGGGGGUGGGUGAGUGGCGAACGGGUGAGUAACACGUGAGUAACCUGCCCCCUUCUUCGGGAUAACGGUCUGAAAGGGCUGCUAAUACCGGGUAUUCACUGGUCUCCGCAUGGGGUCUGGUGGAAAGGUUUUUUUCUGGUGGGGGAUGGGCUCGCGGCCUAUCAGCUUGUUGGUGGGGUGAUGGCCCACCAAGGCUUUGACGGGUAGCCGGCCUGAGAGGGUGACCGGGCACAUUGGGACUGAGAGACGGCCCAGACUCGUACGGGGGGCAGCAGUGGGGAAGAUUGCACAAUGGGCGCAAGCCUGAUGCAGCGACGCCGCGUGAGGGAUGGAGGCCUUCGGGUUGUGAACCUCUUUCGCCCGUGGUCAAGCCGCGACGUGGGUCGUGGUGAGGGUAGUGGGUAAAGAAGCGCCGGCUAACUACGUG
rnacentral:rRNA from 1 species